GUUGCAGAUAAUUGACUUCCCGCUCCUGAAAUCCAAAUACAUCAUUAUGGGAAAAUUGAAGGUUAUAAGCUCGAUCCAAGGACAUCGUAUAUCUUUGAUCUUUAGUCAAGAUUGUAAGUGUGGCAGUAUCUUUAAAAUUAGAAAGAGGGUAUAGAUGUGCCCUCCUUGGAGAACAUCUUGUCGUAGCCCUCUUUGUACACUACUGAGAAAUGGGCAUCAAGAAGUUGGUACACACGUAAUGUGUAUCACUGAAAUUCUAGAAAACAAUAAUUAGCUAGCUUCAUCAUAACACAGAUGUGCCGACUAAUGGCACCUGUGAAAAGAACGGAGAGCCUGGUUAAGAGGGUGAAGAGUAGAACCUGCAGACUAUGCAGGUUCUGCGAGGAACAGGUGAAACCAGAUGUACUGGUCUUAGAAUUUCUCAGGACGUCGGAUCAGGGUAGUUGAUUCUUGUUAGGUCUGUGAGUCGUCAAAUGAUCUAACAGUUGAUAAUACAGAUGUCCCGGAACUUAUCAAUAACCAUAUGCGAAGAUUAGCAUGAGAAGGUUCACGAAAAGGACAACUAAGAAAUUAGUCCAACUCUUGAACAUCUCCAAAUAGAAAACUUGUUCAUUUUUCA